GAUGAACGCUGGCGGCGUGCCUAAUACAUGCAAGUCGAGCGAACAGACGAGGAGCUUGCUCCUCUGACGUUAGCGGCGGACGGGUGAGUAACACGUGGAUAACCUACCUAUAAGACUGGGAUAACUUCGGGAAACCGGAGCUAAUACCGGAUAAUAUAUUGAACCGCAUGGUUCAAUAGUGAAAGACGGUUUUGCUGUCACUUAUAGAUGGAUCCGCGCCGCAUUAGCUAGUUGGUAAGGUAACGGCUUACCAAGGCAACGAUGCGUAGCCGACCUGAGAGGGUGAUCGGCCACACUGGCACUGAGACACGGUCCAGACUCCUACGGGAGGCAGCAGUAGGGAAUCUUCCGCAAUGGGCGAAAGCCUGACGGAGCAACGCCGCGUGAGUGAUGAAGGUCUUCGGAUCGUAAAACUCUGUUAUUAGGGAAGAACAAAUGUGUAAGUAACUAGGCACGUCUUGACGGUACCUAAUCAGAAAGCCACGGCUAACUACGUGC
rnacentral:rRNA from 1 species